GGGUUGUGAGGUUAAGCGACUAAGCGUACACGGUGGAUGCCCUGGCAGUCAGAGGCGAUGAAGGACGUGCUAAUCUGCGAUAAGCGUCGGUAAGGUGAUAUGAACCGUUAUAACCGGCGAUUUCCGAAUGGGGAAACCCAGUGUGUUUCGACACACUAUCAUUAACUGAAUCCAUAGGUUAAUGAGGCGAACCGGGGGAACUGAAACAUCUAAGUACCCCGAGGAAAAGAAAUCAACCGAGAUUCCCCCAGUAGCGGCGAGCGAACGGGGAGCAGCCCAGAGCCUGAAUCAGUGUGUGUGUUAGUGGAAGCGUCUGGAAAGGCGUGCGAUACAGGGUGACAGCCCCGUACACAAAAAUGCACAUGCUGUGAGCUCGAUGAGUAGGGCGGGACACGUGGUAUCCUGUCUGAAUAUGGGGGGACCAUCCUCCAAGGCUAAAUACUCCUGACUGACCGAUAGUGAACCAGUACCGUGAGGGAAAGGCGAAAAGAACCCCGGCGAGGGGAGUGAAAAAGAACCUGAAACCGUGUACGUACAAGCAGUGGGAGCACGCUUAGGCGUGUGACUGCGUACCUUUUGUAUAAUGGGUCAGCGACUUAUAUUCUGUAGCAAGGUUAACCGAAUAGGGGAGCCGAAGGGAAACCGAGUCUUAACUGGGCGUUAAGUUGCAGGGUAUAGACCCGAAACCCGGUGAUCUAGCCAUGGGCAGGUUGAAGGUUGGGUAACACUAACUGGAGGACCGAACCGACUAAUGUUGAAAAAUUAGCGGAUGACUUGUGGCUGGGGGUGAAAGGCCAAUCAAACCGGGAGAUAGCUGGUUCUCCCCGAAAGCUAUUUAGGUAGCGCCUCGUGAAUUCAUCUCCGGGGGUAGAGCACUGUUUCGGCAAGGGGGUCAUCCCGACUUACCAACCCGAUGCAAACUGCGAAUACCGGAGAAUGUUAUCACGGGAGACACACGGCGGGUGCUAACGUCCGUCGUGAAGAGGGAAACAACCCAGACCGCCAGCUAAGGUCCCAAAGUCAUGGUUAAGUGGGAAACGAUGUGGGAAGGCCCAGACAGCCAGGAUGUUGGCUUAGAAGCAGCCAUCAUUUAAAGAAAGCGUAAUAGCUCACUGGUCGAGUCGGCCUGCGCGGAAGAUGUAACGGGGCUAAACCAUGCACCGAAGCUGCGGCAGCGACGCUGAUGCGUUGUUGGGUAGGGGAGCGUUCUGUAAGCCUGCGAAGGUGUGCUGUGAGGCAUGCUGGAGGUAUCAGAAGUGCGAAUGCUGACAUAAGUAACGAUAAAGCGGGUGAAAAGCCCGCUCGCCGGAAGACCAAGGGUUCCUGUCCAACGUUAAUCGGGGCAGGGUGAGUCGACCCCUAAGGCGAGGCCGAAAGGCGUAGUCGAUGGGAAACAGGUUAAUAUUCCUGUGCU
rnacentral:rRNA from 1 species